rnacentral:rRNA from 1 species
AGUUUGAUCCUGGCUCAGAAUCAACGCUGGCGGCGUGCCUAACACAUGCAAGUCGAACGUGAAAGGGGCUUCGGCCCCGAGUAAAGUGGCAAACGGGUGAGUAACGCGUGGGUGAUCUGCCUCUGAGUGGGGGAUAACCUUCCGAAAGGAGGGCUAAUACCGCAUGACAUCCUGUUCUUGGAUGGAUGGUGAUCGAAGCUGGGGACCGCAAGGCCUGGCGCUUGGAGAGGAGCCCGCGUCCGAUUAGCUAGUUGGUGGGGUAAUGGCCUACCAAGGCGACGAUCGGUAGCCGGCCUGAGAGGGCGGACGGCCACACUGGGACUGAGACACGGCCCAGACUCCUACGGGAGGCAGCAGUGGGGAAUUGUUCGCAAUGGGCGCAAGCCUGACGACGCAACGCCGCGUGGGGGAUGAAGGUCUUCGGAUUGUAAACCCCUGUUGGGUGGGACGAACACCUUCGUGGUGAAUAUCCACGAGGGCUGACGGUACCACCUGAGGAAGCCCCGGCUAACUCUGUG